GUGAGUGCCCCAUCCCUGGAGGUGCUCAAGGCCAGGUUGGAUGGUGCCCUGGGUAGCCUGACCUGGUGGGGAGCAACCAGCCCAUGGCAGGAUGUUAAAAAUGGGUGGUGUUUAACAUCCCUUCCAACUCAAGUUAUUCUAUGAUUCUAUGAGCCUAUCCUUACAAUCUCAGGCGUUUCGAGAGAUUGUGCACCCUCCUUUUUAAUAUUUUAUUUUACCAUGAUGCAAAUGUCAACACCUUGCAGGAUCUAAUAUGUCUUAUACACCCAGACCAGCCUCAUUUGGGAUCUUCAGGUACCCUUUCUGCCCACUGAUCUAGAAGCUCUUCUUAAGCUCAUGCCUGCACAAUCAGUUCUUGCAGAGCUGUUUUGCAGACUGUGGCCUUGUUUUCUGGAUGGAUGUGUACCUAUAGUAUAGGUUGGUUGUCCCUAGUGCUGUCUUCUGGAUGGGCUUCAGACCUUUUAGCUUGUCUCUACUCUAGUGCUGUUUCUGGUGCUUCUGAUUGGCUUAACUCUGGAUGGGCCUGUUUUGUCAUCUUGCUGUGCCUGGGACUGAUGUCAUAGAAUUAUAGAAUCACAGAAACACUAAGGUUGGAAAAAAUGCUUAGUCCAGCUGUCAGCCCAUCAUAAACAUGCCCACUAAACUAUGUCUCUCAGUGCCACAUCUACACAUUUCUUAAAAACCUCCAGGGAUGGUGACUCCACCACUUCCUUGGGCAGCCUGUUUCAAUGCAUUACUGCUCUUUCCGAGAUUAAUCUUUUUCUAAUAUCCAUCCUGAACAUCCCCUAGGGAUGAGGUUCUUCUUUUGUGAGGCAGGCCUGCUGCCCUUGCUGCUUCCCCCCAAGGAAGGCAUGGCUGCGGCUCACUAUCUGGCAUUGUGGUGGUCCUCAGGCCCACUGUGACGCAAGCACAAUCAGUAUAGCCAGAAGUGUGAGAGAGGUCCCAGCUGGAAGCUAGGAGCUGGGCUGGCUGGAUGUGGGAUAACAGACUAGAUCAAGUUUCAAAUAGGAAAUCCUAAGAAAACUGUAGGAAUUCUUCAAGUCUGCAAGCAAUAGUUUUGGGAAAUAAACUGAGGAAAUGAAGAGAGGUGCUACGCUGGACCUCAGCAAAGAAGGGUUUGUUGGGAAUGUGAAGGUCAAAGACAGACUUGGCUACAAUGAAGACCAUGAAUUCAAGAUUCUUAGGGCAGCAAGUAGAGCGCGCAACAAGCUCACAACCCUGGACUUCAGGAGAAAAGACUCUGGCAUCUUCAGGAAUCUGCUUGGUAGGCACUACAAAUCUACCAGUGCUAUAAGAGUUUCUAGAAGAUCCUCUGUGCUGUGCCAUAUUUUCUCUUUCUCAACAUUUCAUAUGUGAUAUCAAGAAAGCAAGACUAACGCUACAGCAGAAGUCAGCGAAGAAAAAUGGCAGAUCUCAUCAGAAAUUCUUGUACAUACAAGAUCCUGAUUGGUUUACAAGCAGAUUAAGGCUUUGCUUAAGAAGUGAUUGACCUGGAUCUCUGCUCAGAAGACAAGGAACAUCAGAAUGUCCUCAAAUAAAUGUUUAAACAACCCAUCUCUGGGUUCUGAGGUUA